UUCUCUCCUGUGUUCUUUGUUUGCCUGCUACUACACCUUACCACCCAUAAAACAAAACACAGAGAAUUCAUCAUCUCCCCUCACUCUCAAUGAUACACACAAUACCUUACACAACCACAACCAUCUCGACACCUUCACAACAUCGCUCCAUAUCACCCUCGCACUCGUCGGAAGGAUCAGCCAUCAUCGGAGUUCAGUUGCAACCACCAUUAACGACACCGGCACCGCCCUAAGUUCACGACGGUAUCACGUCGGAACUCGUAUUGUUUCGGUAUACACUACUCAUUUCUGUCAGAUGUGGUUUAACGCAAGUAACGCUAACAGUGGAUAUGUUUUUGUUUCUUUUCUGGUUCAUGUUCGGCAUCUCUCACAAUCCAACCUUUCGCUAUUUCCCUCACUCUCUCGUUAACUUGAAGCCAACCGGAGUUUCUACGAAACUUUCGGACCAACGUUUCGGUUGGUGAUUGAUGACACUAUGAAAAUGGAUAGCGAAGAUGCCUAGAUACUCAUUUAGACGCCUUAAGUUUAAAUCAUUGUAUCAAUUUUGUUAUGAUAUGUUGUCACUUGAAUUUCCUUGUAUGUUUUAACAAUUUAUGAAAUGAAAUCGGUUGAAUUAAAUAUUGUCA
rnacentral:lncRNA from 1 species